CUUAAUAUAGUCUGUCUGGUAUGAUGCAGACUCUAAUAAAUAUUGUACUAACCAAAACCAAAACCCCGGGAUGGCAGGCUGCAUGCUUCGGUAUGUUCAGUAACCUGGCCCGCUAUACAGGCUGGUGGUGGGGGUGGCUACCCAUGACUCCCACUAUGAAAUAUAAGAACUCAGAACUUAAUGCUUUAUGCACAAUUUUCUAUUGUA
rnacentral:misc_RNA from 1 species